UUGAAUAAAGAAUUGAACCUAUGAAGUACUGAAGAAUUGAAGAUUCAAACUUCUACAAGCUCUCAAGACGUCAAAAUUCAUAUCAACCUGGAGAUCAACAACUUCUGAAAGUUGGAAGAUUAAACUUUCCUUGGAUUCCAUAAGAUCGAAGUUCAAAUUCAUAUCAACCUGGAGAUCAACAACUUCUGAAAGUUGGAAGAUUAAACUUUCCUUGGAUUCCAUAAGAUCGAAGUUCAAAUUCAUAUCAACCUGGAGAUCAACAACUUCUGAAAGUUGGAAGAUUAAACUUUCCUUGGAUUCCAUAAGAUCGAAGUUCAAAUCAACUUACAACUACAAUAUCCUAAAGAUCGAAGAUAAAAAAGUUAUAAGUUUUAACUUGUAUUCGAGAGAAAGCAUCAAAGGAGUAAAUACUAGAGGUUGUAUGCACAAUAUUCAUCAAUAUAUAAAGUUCAAUUCCACGAAAUACAUUUAUUCGAAAUCUCGUGUGAACAGUGAGAAUA
rnacentral:lncRNA from 1 species